rnacentral:rRNA from 1 species
GUGAGUAAUACAUCGGAACGUGCCCAGUAGCGGGGGAUAACCUCUCGAAAGAGAGGCUAAUACCGCAUACGUCCUACGGGAGAAAGAGGGGGAUCGCAAGACCUCUCACUAUUGGAGCGGCCGAUGUCGGAUUAGCUAGUUGGCGGGGUAAUGGCCCACCAAGGCUACGAUCCGUAGCUGGUCUGAGAGGACGACCAGCCACACUGGAACUGAGACACGGUCCAGACUCCUACGGGAGGCAGCAGUGGGGAAUUUUGGACAAUGGGCGAAAGCCUGAUCCAGCCAUGCCGCGUGGGUGAAGAAGGCUUUCGGGUUGUAAAGCCCUUUCGGCUGGGACGAAAAGGUCCGCGCUAACACCGCGGAUCCAUGACGGUACCAGCAGAAGAAGCACCGGCUAACUACGUGCCAGCAGCCGCGGUAAUACGUAGGGUGCAGGCGUUAAUCGGAAUUACUGGGCGUAAAGCGUGCGCAGGCGGUCUCUUAAGACAGGUGUGAAAUCCCCGAGCUUAACUUGGGAACUGCGCUUGUAACUGAGAGGCUAGAGUGUGGCAGAGGGGGGUGGAAUUCCACGUGUAGCAGUGAAAUGCGUAGAGAUGUGGAGGAACACCGAUGGCGAAGGCAGCCCCCUGGGCUAACACUGACGCUCAUGCACGAAAGCGUGGGGAGCAAACAGGAUUAGAUACCCUGGUAGUCCACGCCCUAAACUAUGUCAACUGGUUGUCGGGGAAGCAAUUCCUUGGUAACGAAGCUAACGCGUGAAGUUGACCGCCUGGGGAGUACGGCCGCAAGGUUAAAACUCAAAGGAAUUGACGGGGACCCGCACAAGCGGUGGAUUAUGUGGAUUAAUUCGAUGCAACGCGAAAAACCUUACCUACCCUUGACAUGCCAGGAACCCUCCAGAGAUGGAGGGGUGCCCGAAAGGGAACCUGGACACAGGUGCUGCAUGGCUGUCGUCAGCUCGUGUCGUGAGAUGUUGGGUUAAGUCCCGCAACGAGCGCAACCCUUGCCAUUAGUUGCCACAUUCAGUUGGGCACUCUAAUGGGACUGCCGGUGACAAACCGGAGGAAGGUGGGGAUGACGUCAGUCCUCAUGGCCCUUAUGGGUAGGGCUUCACACGUAAUACAAUGGCCGGUACAGAGGGCAGCCAACCCGCGAG